CACGCUGUAAACGAUGGGAACUAGGUGGUAGCGGGUAUUGAUCCCUGCUGUGCCGAAGCUAACGCAUUAAGUUCCCCGCCUGGGGAGUACGGUCGCAAGGCUAAAACUCAAAGGAAUUGACGGGGGCCCGCACAAGCGGUGGAGCAUGUGGUUCAAUUCGAUGCAACGCGAAAAACCUUACCUGGGUUUGACAUCCUUUGACAGUCCCUGAAAGGGGAUCUUCCCGAUUUAUCGGGACAAAGUGACAGGUGUUGCAUGGCUGUCGUCAGCUCGUGUCGUGAGCUGUUGGGUUAAGUCCCGCAACGAGCGCAACCCUUGUUAUUAGUUGCCAAUAUUAAGUUAGGCACUCUAAUGAUACUGCCCCGGUUAACGGGGAGGAAGGUGGGGAUGACGUCAAGUCCUCAUGGCCUUUAUACCCAGGGCUACACACGUGCUACAAUGGGCUAUACAAAGGGCUGCCACUCUGCAAAGAGGAGCUAAUCCCAAAAAGUAGUCCUAAGUUCGGAUUGGAGUCUGCAACUCGACUCCAUGAAGCUGGAAUCGCUAGUAACCGUGGAUCAGCAUGCCACGGUGAAUUCGUUCCCGGGCCUUGUACACACCGCCGCCACACCACGAAAGUCGGC
rnacentral:rRNA from 1 species